rnacentral:rRNA from 1 species
UGAAGGUGAUGCCUGCCCAGUGACAUCGUUUAACGGCCGCGGUAUCCUAACCGUGCGAAGGUAGCGCAAUCAAUUGUCUCAUAAAUCGAGACUUGUAUGAAUGGCUAAACGAGGUCCUAACUGUCUCUUACAGACAAUCAGUGAAAUUGAUCUUCCUGUGCAAAAGCAGGGAUAUAUUCAUAAGACGAGAAGACCCUGUGGAACUUAAAAAUCAGCGGCCACCGCACACAACACAAAGCCUACCAGGCCCACUACCACCAAAGCAUUGGCUCGUAUUUUUUGGUUGGGGCGACCUUGGAGGAAAAUAGAUCCUCCAAAAACAAGACCACAUAUCUUAACCAAGAGCAACCCCUCAACGUACUAAUAGUAACCAGACCCAAUACAAUUGACCAAUGGACCAAGCUACCCCAGGGAUAACAGCGCAAUCUCCUUCAAGAGCCCGUAUCGACAAGGAGGUUUACGACCUCGAUGUUGGAUCAGGACACCCUAAUGGUGCAGCCGCUAUUAAC